rnacentral:ncRNA from 2 species
ACGUGCCACAAGGGGAGCAUUCUGCUGAGAGUGAAUAGUUCGCUGUUCUGACCCUUUGAACCUGUUAGAUAAUGCUAGCGCAGGAAUGUGGAAUAAAAGGCGG